UACAGAGGUCUCAAGCGUUGUCCGGAAUCAUUGGGCGUAAAGCGCGUGUAGGCGGCUUGGUAAGUCCGUUCUGAAAGCCCGGGGCUCAACCCCGGGAGGCGGAUGGAUACUGCUGAGCUCGAGUCCGGAAGAGGCGAGUGGAAUUCCUGGUGUAGCGGUGAAAUGCGCAGAUAUCAGGAGGAACACCAAUGGCGAAGGCAGCUCGCUGGGACGGUACUGACGCUGAGACGCGAAAGCGUGGGGAGCAAACAGG
rnacentral:rRNA from 1 species